AUGCGGACGGGAGGCGGGUGCCUCGGGCGGGCGGGGGGUCGGGCGCUCCUCCCGCUGCUGUUGAUCGCCACGACGGUGGCAUUGCUGCCGCGGGCGCUCGCCCUCACCGACGCCGCCGACGUUUCUGCUAUAAAUGGAUUGUAUGUUGCACUUGGGUCACCAGCUCUUCCUGGAUGGACUGCAAAUGGUGGAGACCCCUGCGGUGAGAAGUGGCAGGGUGUUGUAUGUAUUGGCUCAAAUAUAGACGCAAUAAAUUUUAUUGCUGCAACGAUGGGAGGACAGCUGGGAAGCCUAGGGAACUUCACAGCUAUAACCACAAUAAAUCUUAGCAACAACAAAAUCACCGGAACUAUACCAGAUGAUCUACCUGUUACACUGCGGAAUCUUUUUCUCUCGGACAACCAACUCACCGGAAGCAUCCCGAUGUCGCUAUCAAAACUUAACAGUUUAACAGCCAUGUCACUCAAUGAUAACCAUCUCGAUGGACAGCUACCAGAUGCUUUUGGCUCCCUUGUUGGACUUAUAAACCUGGAUAUUUCUUCCAACAACUUCAGUGGUCCAUUACCAACUUCGUUGGGAAACCUGUCGUCACUAGUUACGCUGCGAAUGCAAGAUAAUCAACUAUCUGGGACCCUUGAUGUGUUGCAGGGUCUUCCCCUCGGUGAUUUAAAUAUAGAGAACAAUUUAUUUUCUGGACCGAUUCCUCCAAAGUUGCUCAACAUACCAAAUUUGAAAAAGGAUGGGAACCCAUUUAAUACCAGCAUUGCUCCUUCCACGUCACCCUCUUUAACACCGACAGGCCCUACACCGACACAAACACCAUCAUCUCCUUCAUCCCCUUCAGGAACUCCUUCAUCGUCUAAUACACCCUCGAGCUCUUCUGGUGGAUCCACAGCUCGAGACAGCAGAUCAUCCUCCGGGAAACACAAGUCUUCAACCCUAAGGACCGUUGGAUACGUUUUUCUUGGCAUUGUGCUGUUCAUAAUUGUUGUGCUGCUGGUAAUCUUUUGCCUGUCCAAGUACCAAGAGAGACAGUCAAGACAUGAUUAUACAACAAGUCAGGUGGGAAGGGUGCACCAAAGAGUUGAAGAGCCUAAAGUCAAGCAAGCUUCAGCGCAGCCAAGGAACGACGUUAAAAAAGGCUCAGCUGGGGUUCCUGACAGGAAGCAUGUUCGUGAAAUAAAUUUGGCCAUACCAGCUGCUCUUGAGAAGCCUCCUGAAAAGAGAGAAGAGCGUGUAAUUAACUUGGAGCGAACAGAGUCGGAUAUUUUUGCUGUGGAACCUCCGCCACCUCCACCACCGCCGCCGCCACCACCACCAGUGUCCCCACCACCACCUCCACCGCCGCUGCCACCGCCGCCGCCAGUGUCCCCACCACCACCUCCGCUUGUUGAAAAAGUGAUUGUUAAUCCUAUUGUUAAGCCAGAAAAAAGAGCUAGCACCCCACCAAGGGCAGGUCCCUCGACAUCUGCAACAUCCUUUUCUGUUGCAACACUUCAGCAAUAUACAAAUAGUUUUGCAGAGGAAAAUUUAAUAAGAGAGAGUAGGCUGGGAAAAGUAUAUCUGGCAGAACUUCCUGAAGGCAAAUUACUGGAAGUUAUGAAGAUAGACAAUGCCAAUGGAAGAAUACCAGUAGAUGACUUUCUAGAGCUGGUUGCGUGUAUAUCAGAUAUUAGACACCCUAGCAUCCUUGAGCUUGUUGGAUACUGUGCAGAAUAUGGACAGCGGUUACUUGUUUAUAACCACUUCAGUAGAAAAACACUACAUGAUGUGUUACAUGAAAGAGAGGAUCUAGAUAGUGCACUGUCUUGGGGCGCCCGUCUCCAGGUUGCUCUUGGUUCAGCAAAAGCCUUAGAGUAUCUCCAUGACACCUGCGAGCCUCCAGUAGUGCAUCAGAAUUUUGAGCCAGCCAAUGUGCUUCUUGAUAAUAGAUUCUCAGUACGUGUUGCUGAAUGUGGACUGUCUGUAUUGACGUUGUCAAGUUCUGUUACACAGUUGUCUGGUCGCAUGCGAGCACUACUAAAUUACGAGGCACCUGAAAUCCAGGAAUCUGGAACUUUUACUGAUCGAAGUGAUGUUUACAGUUUCGGUGUGGUGAUGCUAGAACUUCUUACUGGUCGUAAACCAUAUGACAGUUCUCGUCCGCGACAUGAACAACAUCUUGUUAGGUGGGCCCAGUCUCAGUUUCAUGACAUUGAAUCACUAAUAAAGAUCGUUGACCCUUCUAUUCGUGGAGAGUGUUCUGAGAAAGUGUUGUCUCGUUUUGUCGACAUCAUCAGUCGCUGUAUUCCGCCGGAACCAGAAUACAGGCCGCCAAUGUCUGAGAUUGUCCAAGAUCUAGCAAGUAUCUUAAACGCUGCUGGUGAGGAAUCAGAGUGA
rnacentral:rRNA from 1 species